GGUGCGUGUCCUUAAUAGAAAAUGCAGUGACCGGAUUGUCACAUAAGAAGCAUGAGGUUGAAAAGCGGAUGCAAUUUCCGACGCGUACC
ncrna:unclassified sequences RAGATH-21 RNA